rnacentral:rRNA from 1 species
CCUACGGGAGGCAGCAGUGAGGAAUAUUGGUCAAUGGGCGAAAGUCUGAACCAGCCAAGUAGCGUGAAGGAUGACUGCCCUAUGGGUUGUAAACUUCUUUUAUACGGGAAUAAAACGAGGCACGUGUGCCUUUUUGCAUGUACUUUAUGAAUGAGGAUCGGCUAACUCCGUGCCAGCAGCCGCGGUAAUACGGAGGGUCCGGGCGUUAUCCGGAUUUAUUGGGUGUAAAGGGAGCGUAGAUGGGUUGUUAAGUCAGUUGUGAAAGUUUGCGGCUCAACCGUAAAAGUGCAAUUGAUACUGGCAGGCUUGAGUACAGUGGAGGUAAGCGGAAUUCGUGGUGUAGCGGUGAAAUGCGUAGAUAUCACGAAGAACCCCGAUUGCGAAGGCAGCUUACUAAACUGUGACUGACAUUGAUGCUCGAAAGUGUGGGUAUCAAACAGGAUUAGAUACCCCUGUAGUC